UGGCUCGGGGUCGAAGGCAACCGCGGCAUCCCAAUCGAUGUCGUCCAACGAUUGUGGAACCGCGUAGGCUGCCUCCACGAGGGA
rnacentral:pre_miRNA from 1 species